GCUUGUCUCAAAGAUUAAGCCAUGCAUGUCUAAGUAUAAACGACUUUAUACUGUGAAACUGCGAAUGGCUCAUUAUAUCAGUUAUAGUUUAUUUGAUGGUCCUUGCUACUUGGAUAACCGUAGUAAUUCUAGAGCUAAUACAUGCACAAAGGCCCGACUCACGAAGGGCUGUAUUUAUUAGAUUUAAAGCCGACAUCUUUUGGUGAUUCAUAAUAACUUUUCGAACCGCAUGCGCAAGCGGCGGUGGUUCAUUCAAGUUUCUGCCCUAUCAGCUUUCGAUGGUAGGGUAUUGGCCUACCAUGGCUUUCACGGGUAACGGAGGAUCAGGGUUCGAUUCCGGAGAGGGAGCCUGAGAGAUGGCUACCACAUCCAAGGAAGGCAGCAGG
rnacentral:rRNA from 1 species